rnacentral:rRNA from 1 species
GGUUAAGUGACUAAGCGUACACGGUGGAUGCCUUGGCAGUCAGAGGCGAUGAAAGACGUAGUAACUUGCGAUAAGCCCAGAUUAGGUAGUAACAACCAUUUGAGUCUGGGAUUUCUGAAUGGGGAAACCCACGUGCAUAAGCACGUAUCCUUACCUGAAUACAUAGGGUAAGGAGGCGAACCGGGGGAACUGAAACAUCUAAGUACCCCGAGGAAAAGAAAUCAACCGAGAUUCCGAAAGUAGCGGCGAGCGAAAUUGGACUAGCCCUUAAGCUUUACACGCGUUAGACGAACGGUCUGGAAAGUCCGACGAUACAGGGUGAUAGUCCCGUAGUUGACGACGUGUGUUCAGUGAAAUCGAGUAGGGCGGGACACGUGAUAUCCUGUCUGAAUAUGGGGGGACCAUCCUCCAAGGCUAAAUACUACUGACUGACCGAUAGUGAACCAGUACCGUGAGGGAAAGGCGAAAAGAACCCCUGUGAGGGGAGUGAAAUAGAACCUGAAACCGUGUACGUACAAGCAGUAGGAGCAGGCUUUGUCCUGUGACUGCGUACCUUUUGUAUAAUGGGUCAGCGACUUAUAUUCAGUGGCAAGGUUAACCAUCUAGGGGAGCCGUAGGGAAACCGAGUCUUAACUGGGCGUUCAGUCUCUGGAUAUAGACCCGAAACCAGGUGAUCUAGCCAUGGGCAGGUUGAAGGUUGAGUAACAUCAACUGGAGGACCGAACCGACUAAUGUUGAAAAAUUAGCGGAUGACUUGUGGCUAGGGGUGAAAGGCCAAUCAAACCUGGAGAUAGCUGGUUCUCCCCGAAAGCUAUUUAGGUAGCGCCUCGGACGAAUACUACUGGGGGUAGAGCACUGUUAAGGCUAGGGGGUCAUCCCGACUUACCAACCCUUUGCAAACUCCGAAUACCAGUAAGUACUAUCCGGGAGACACACGGCGGGUGCUAACGUCCGUCGUGGAGAGGGAAACAACCCAGACCGCCAGCUAAGGUCCCAAAUUACUACUAAGUGGGAAACGAUGUGGGAAGGCUCAGACAGCCAGGAUGUUGGCUUAGAAGCAGCCAUCAUUUAAAGAAAGCGUAAUAGCUCACUGGUCGAGUCGGCCUGCGCGGAAGAUGUAACGGGGCUAAGUAGUAAACCGAAGCUGCGGCAAUGUGCUUUUGCACAUUGGGUAGGGGAGCGUUCUGUAAGCGGUUGAAGGUGUGUGGUAACGCAUGCUGGACGUAUCAGAAGUGCGAAUGCUGACAUGAGUAACGAUAAAGGGGGUGAAAAACCUCCUCGCCGGAAGACCAAGGGUUCCUGUCCAACGUUAAUCGGGGCAGGGUAAGUCGACCCCUAAGGCGAGGCCGAAAGGCGUAGUCGAUGGGAAACGGGUUAAUAUUCCCGUACUUCUUACAAUUGCGAUGGGGGGACGGAGAAGGCUAGGUGGGCCUGGCGACGGUUGUCCAGGUUCAAGUGCGUAGGCUUAAGAGUUAGGUAAAUCCGGCUCUUUUUAAGGCUGAGACACGACGUCGAGCACCUACGGGUGUGAAGUCAUUGAUGCCAUGCUUCCAGGAAAAGCCUCUAAGCUUCAGAUUGUAAGGAAUCGUACCCCAAACCGACACAGGUGGUCGGGUAGAGAAUACCAAGGCGCUUGAGAGAACUCGGGUGAAGGAACUAGGCAAAAUGGUACCGUAACUUCGGGAGAAGGUACGCUCUCGACGGUGAAGUCCCUCGCGGAUGGAGCUAUUGAGAGUCGCAGAUACCAGGUGGCUGCAACUGUUUAUUAAAAACACAGCACUGUGCAAAAUCGUAAGAUGACGUAUACGGUGUGACGCCUGCCCGGUGCCGGAAGGUUAAUUGAUGGGGUUAGACUUCGGUCGAAGCUCUUGAUCGAAGCCCCGGUAAACGGCGGCCGUAACUAUAACGGUCCUAAGGUAGCGAAAUUCCUUGUCGGGUAAGUUCCGACCUGCACGAAUGGCGUAAUGAUGGCCACGCUGUCUCCACCCGAGACUCAGUGAAAUUGAAAUCGCUGUGAAGAUGCAGUGUACCCGCGGCUAGACGGAAAGACCCCGUGAACCUUUACUACAGCUUGGCACUGAACAUUGACCCUACAUGUGUAGGAUAGGUGGGAGGCUUUGAAGCAGGUACGCCAGUAUCUGUGGAGCCGUCCUUGAAAUACCACCCUUGUAGUGUUGAUGUUCUAACGUCGACCCCUUAUCGGGGUUGCGGACAGUGCCUGGUGGGUAGUUUGACUGGGGCGGUCUCCUCCCAAAGAGUAACGGAGGAGCACGAAGGUGGGCUAAUCACGGUUGGACAUCGUGAGGUUAGUGCAAUGGCAUAAGCCCGCUUGACUGCGAGAAUGACAAUUCGAGCAGGUGCGAAAGCAGGUCAUAGUGAUCCGGUGGUUCUGAAUGGAAGGGCCAUCGCUCAACGGAUAAAAGGUACUCCGGGGAUAACAGGCUGAUACCGCCCAAGAGUUCAUAUCGACGGCGGUGUUUGGCACCUCGAUGUCGGCUCAUCACAUCCUGGGGCUGAAGUCGGUCCCAAGGGUAUGGCUGUUCGCCAUUUAAAGUGGUACGCGAGCUGGGUUUAGAACGUCGUGAGACAGUUCGUCCCUAUCUGCCGUGGGCGUUGGAAGAUUGAAGGGGGCUGCUCCUAGUACGAGAGGACCGGAGUGGACGAACCUCUGGUGUUCGGGUUGUGUCGCCAGACGCAUUGCCCGGUAGCUAAGUUCGGAAUCGAUAACCGCUGAAAGCAUCUAAGCGGGAAGCGAGCCCUGAGAUGAGUCUUCCCUGAUACUUUAAGUAUCCUAAAGGGUUGUCGGAGACUACGACGUUGAUAGGUCAGGUGUGUAAGUGCUGUGAGGCAUUGAGCUAACUGAUACUAAUUGCCCGUGAGGCUUAACCAU